rnacentral:rRNA from 1 species
UACGAAGGGGGCUAGCGUUGUUCGGAAUUACUGGGCGUAAAGGGCGCGUAGGCGGCCUGCUAAGUCGAACGUGAAAUCCCUGGGCUCAACCCAGGAACUGCGUCCGAUACUGGUUGGCUUGAAUCCGGGAGAGGGAUGUGGAAUUCCAGGUGUAGCGGUGAAAUGCGUAGAUAUCGGGAGGAACACCAAUGGCGAAGGCAGCUCGCUGGGACGUUACUGACGCUGAGACGCGAAAGCGUGGGGAGCAAACAGG